rnacentral:rRNA from 1 species
UACGGGGGGGGUAAGCGUUGUUCGGAAUUACUGGGCGUAAAGGGCUCGUAGGCGGCCAACUAAGUCAUACGUGAAAUCCCUCAGCUUAACUGGGGAACUGCGUGUGAUACUGGAUGGCUUGGAUUUGGGAGAGGGAUGCGGAAUUCCAGGUGUAGCGGUGAAAUGCGUAGAUAUCUGGAGGAACACCGGUGGCGAAGGCGGCAUCCUGGACCGUGACUGACGCUGAGGCACGAAAGCGUGGGUAGCAAACAGG